GGUUUAAUGUGCCAUAUGCACAAGUAAAAUCUACGUGUCUCUUUAUACUUGUAGCCAGCGCAUAGAUUUACUCCUCAUCAUCUCUUUCUCUUUGACGACUCGCCGGGGUUAUGCUAAUUCGCCUCCAGGUGAAUUUUCUCUUCGUAUCUCUUUCUGUAUUUGGGUAUUCUACAAAGUUCCUCUAUUUUGGUUUGAAUUAAUUUCUUCCUGGAUUUUGGUGAGUAGUGCUCUCUUCUUUAUAUUUUUUCCUAAUAAUUGCUCCAAUUUGUUAGAUGUGUUAGUUUUCCAAUUUUGAAUCCUUUCUUGCUGGGUUUUAUACAUCCAUGUUAGCAGGGGCGAAUUAAUGGGCUAAUUUUGGGGUCCGUAAAAUCAGGUGUUUUAUGUAUAUAUUUUCUAAAAUUAGUAUAAUAUUAUCUGCUGACACCUAUGUUGCAUGCUAUAAGAAGGCUAAAUGAUGCAUUUGGUUGAAUCUUGAGUUAUUUACUUAGAGGGCUGGGGAUCGAUUCCCAUUUAAUACUGUUUUCCCUUCUUUUUUAAGUGGAUCGCCCAUGUUUUAAGAAGUGGGGGCUAUCGCCUUUUUGAAACUUUGAGGUCUGCCCAUCGUCUGCUAAGCGAGUUGAAUAGAAAUUUCUCUAUAUACUUUGAUAAACAAUCUUGCUGGUUUGGAACUUCUCUUGCGAUAUCUAGGAAAUAAGGUCACAUCUAAUUGAUUAGUUAGUGUUUACUGAACUAUGGAAACUCCUUAAUGAGGAGUUCAAAAGGUAUAUGUGCAGGCAGGGACUAGGAUUCAACAGGUCGUGGAUGAUAGAUCAAGGAAUAAGGUAUUAUGAUGAUGCAUGUAGGUGUAAGUACAUAUCGAAUUUUGUAGUGCAAGAUGUAAAAUUCCUGUUAGCACACAAGGUUUCCCAUUCAUCAAACCACCGCCAAAACUUCUAUAGCACUAUGGUUAUUCAUAUUCAGGAUGAUGAAUCAUUGACAAAAUGUUCAGUGUUUUAUUUGAUGGUGUUGGACGCAUGCUCAAUGACAACUUCAGACUGUUGGUUCACUUAUCUUUUAGUCUUUCUAAAAAAUAUUGGAUUAUCCCCAAGGUUUGUACCCAUUUUCUUGUUGUUAGGUACUCUGAUGAGCAUGUGUCUUCCAAUAAUCUAUUUAGCAUUAAGACCAAAAGAAAUAUAACCCUCUUCCUGCAUUUUAAAAUUAAGAGAGUUUCAGAAGACUAUGUAUGGUUAUUGCAAACAGGUACAUCCAUUCAAGCACCACUAUUUGUUGGUUCAGUAAGUGGUACAUACAGUUAAUUUUCUUGCGCUAAUAAAUCAUUAUUUGAGUUUAUUUUGACAGAUUCUUGUUUUCUUAUUUUCAUUUUAUUGACUUUUAAUAUUUUCAUUGAACAUUACAUCAUACGUGCCUUGCAAUUGCUAACCUAGAAGUCUACGUGUGCGUUUCACAAUACUCGAUAAAGCAAAAGCAUGAUCUUGGUUCGUUUUGGUUUUUUUUUCUUUUUUCGGGUGCUGUGUUAUGAUGUUUUUUUUUUUUCCUGAAAAACAAUUGUGGGUGUUGGUGAUUUUUUGACUCUGUUGUUUUGGAUUUCAGAGAAGAGGCGUGCUGAGCCUGCUAGGAUUAGGGAAUGAGUAUUGCUGGAAAUUUCACAAAAUUAUCAAGUAACUUCUUUAGCUAAACAAAAGUAUUUAAAGCUGCUGGAACAUUAAGGAAGAAGACAACCAAAUAUUUUAAAAAGAAGAACAGAAUCUGAAACAGUGCAGUCUUUUGUCUAAUAAAAGGUUGGUUAAUUAAACACCAUUUGCCUUAAAUGGAUAAGGUUAGAAGUUGAUCUGGAAUUCAACUGUUUAUCAACUUGUCGGGACAUUCAAAAUGGUUCACUAAAUGGAUAAGUUUAAAUUAAACAUCAUGUAUCUGCCUUAAUCAAAUUCUUCUAUGAAACUAAUUUUGCUGUUGUCUUCCAAGAUGCGAUGCUGAUGUUUUGGGGAAGGACAUAGACCUACUCCUGCUGCUGCUUUUAGCUGUUGGGAUAAUAGGGCCCAAUGUUCUUAUCGAAUGAGGCUACACUCGGCUGACCUUCGAGUUAAUGUAUCGCAUUUUAUUAAUAUGUAAAUAGAAUGUACAUAGGGAUCUUGUAGAAAGUGACUCCUAACCAAACUGCAUCAAGCAGUUUAUACGUAAUAAGUUUGUCUUUUCAAUCUUUGAUAUGUUUGCAUUUCACCACUCAUGGCAUGUACUCAGAAACUGAAAAGUGGCAUAAAUUGUUCACUUUGCAAUUUAGUAUGAAGCUUUUGCAAAUGAAGUCUGACCUUAUAUCCUUUUAAAUCUGGUUUAUGCACGGGCCAUACACCCCUA